rnacentral:tRNA from 1 species
UCCCGUGUAGCUCAGCGGUAGAGCNNUCGCCUGUUAAGCGAUGGGUCGCUGGUUCGAAUCCAGCCGCGGGAGCCA